GCUCAAAAUAAAUUGCCUGCUGUAGGACUGAUAAAGUCCAAAAAAGACCCUCUGUGUCCCAGGACUUCAUCAGGCCACAUGGCCAGCCAGUGCCCUUUAUCAUGAGCCAGUCAUGAGUAGAGAGCCUUAUGUCUUUAUACUAUAAUUUAAAUUACAGCCUAAUGAAAGGGCAAGAAGCUGCUUUACUGAGUGAGAUCAUUCUGGCCUUCAAUAAUGGCAGUGCAUUUGGGGUAGAACAAUUCUGAGGAACUAAAGGCAGUACUACUGUCUGUCUGUUAAAUGGGUGUAAGCAAGAAGAAUGUUGAGUUAUAAUUUAACAAACUCCCAAAUUAGCCAUCUUUUUUUGUGGGGAUUCAAGUAGGAUUUUUCUAGUAUUAGAAACCUUUUGCUUUAUUGUUCAAAAUCUGGGUGGAAAUCUUUUUGACGGCCAUAGACACAUAUCUUUAGAAAAUAAAUUCUGUAUUGGAAACAUACAUUAUUAUCUCCCACACAAGCAUAAACAUAAUGCCUUCAUGAGCACAAUUAGAUUUAGCAGAUUUUGGUUUAGAGAGAUAAGGUUGCAAAGGAUAAGCAUAGAAAUGUUUCAAAGACAUAUUGAAGGCAACUUGUAAUUGAUGGAUCCUUAAGCAAGUGGUUUAAAUUCUCUGAGUCUCAGUUUUCUCAUUUGUAAAGUGAGGCCAAAAUAAUAAAUAUUACCUGCCUUGUUUAAUUACAGGGUUGUUCUGAGGACCAAAUGAGGGGGCAUUGACAAAAUUAUGGUGAUGUACAAAUGAAUGCUGUUAUUAUGGUAGCAUCUAGUACACAGGGAAAGUGUCCUGAGUCGUAAGGCAUACCUGCUUUUGGAAUUGCUGUGUUAUUUAGCAUUUUGAUGAUUUAGGCCAAGUCACCGCAAUCUUGAGCUUUAUUUCUCUCACCUAAAUAAGAUAAUAAUCUCUCCCAGAGUUGUGAGAAUUAUGUUAGCUGUAGAUGCUAUUUUUAAAUUUUUAUAAAAUAGUGAUCAUCUGGGAAUUAUAAUGUCAUCUUGAACAGAUUUUGGAAAGUUGGGAAAGAAAUAACCAGAGGCUUCUAAUCUGUUCCCAAAUAUCUUAGCAAGAUAAAUAAUCCAAAGAAUACUAGAAUGUUAGUGCUAGAAGGACCCUUGAAGGUCACCUGUCUUAUCCUCCUCAUUUUAAGACAGAGGAUUGCCUCCUAAUCAUAAUUUUGUCAUUUCUGCCAUGUAUUAUGUGCAUAUAACACUGUCACCAGCAUCAUCAAUAGUAAAGGAUGGCAAUUGUUACUCAAUCUUGAUAGAUACAGAUUUUUAAAAGUGCAGAGUCAGAGAAGAAUUCUGCUUGGAGAUAGUAUCGUGUUGUGAAAAGAACCUGGGUUUUGUUGUUGGAAGUUAAGAUGGUAUCUUGAUCCUUUCAGUUACUAGUUUGGAGACAGUGGGACAUUCACUUAGUGUUUGGUGUAGUGUAGCUCCUUAACUAUCCUAUUUCUUUAGCUGUCACGUAGGUAUAGACAUAUUAUACCUUAGCCAUUUCCACAUGUGAUUUUCUGGAUUUGAAAUGAAUUUACUUUUUAUGCUAUUUAUAUUAAUGAUUCUUUUUUGUUGUUUUGUUUUUAACUCAGUGAAUUUUAUUACUUUUACAGUAUAUUAAUGGUUCUUGACCUUUUCUCCCUUGUCUCAUGCAAAUACAAUAGAUUCUUUCUAUUGUGUUGGAAAGGUGGAGUUGGAACAAAGCAGAAUCUUGGAACUGUGGGUUAGGUGUAGUUAGAAAAGACUUCUCUUUAAGGCUGGUUUAGGGACUUAAACAUAGAGCUAUUCUGUUAAGCCAUUUUUUUGUCAGCUUUUUUCCUUACAUGAUUGCAUUUAAAUUUAUAUGUGUUGGUUUUGCUUAUAUUAGAGUUUACAUGUAUUUGGAAAAUUCAUUAGAAAGUUAAUGGGCAGUGUUUUAAUAUGAAAUUUUAAAAUACUAUUAAGUGUUUUCCUUUGAGAAGAGCUCUUCAAAAGAAAGUGCAAGAAAAUAAUGUUUUAUCACUGAAGAACAAGUACAGAGAAUGUUUAUGUUUAUAAUCAAGAAUAGUGACCUUAGUAUACUUUUUAGAGCACACCAUUAAGAGAUUCCAUAGUUUAUAUUUUCAUGAUAGUAAGUUUGGUAUUUUUUUAUUAAGAAUAUUUUCAUUCUUACUUGAUAUCCUGGAGAUACAAAGUUUAUACUUAGGGAGUUACCAUUGUGGCACAGCGAAAUAAAUCCAACUAGUACCCAUGAGGGUUCGAUCCCUGGCCUCAUCAGUGGGUCAUGUAUCUGGCAUUGCCAUGAGUUGUAGCAUAGGUCGCAGAUGUGGCUUGGAUCCUGCGUUGUUGAGUGUGGUGUGGCCAAGUUGCUGUAGCUCUGAUUUGACCCCUAGCCUGGGAACUUCCAUAUGCCACGGGUGUGGCCCU
rnacentral:lncRNA from 1 species